rnacentral:lncRNA from 1 species
UCCUCCUCCUCCUCUAUGAGAUAUUCAGGGCACUUGUCCUCCUCCCCCUCUACCAGACAUUGCUGGCCCUCUUCCUCCUCCGUCUACUCCUCUACCAGACAUUGCUGACCCUCCUCCUACUCCUCUACCGGACAUCGCUGGCCCUCUUCCUCCUCUUGUACUGGACAUCUCUGGCUCUCCUCCUCCUCCUCUUCCUCCUCCUCCUCUACCAGGCGUCACUGUCCCUCCUCCUCCUCUUCUACUAGACAUCAUUGACCCUCCUCCUCCUCCUCCUGUACUAGACAUUCCUGGCCCUCUUCUUCCUCCUCCUCCUAUUUCUCAACCAGAUAGCACUGAUCCUCCUCCUCCUCCACUACCAGACAUUGGUGGUCCUUCUCCUCCUCCUCUAUCAGACAUCGCUUGCACUCCUCCUCCUCCUUCUGCACCUCCUCCUCUACCAGACAUUGCUGACCCUCCUCCUCCACCUCUACUGGACAUCGCUGGCCCUCUUCCUCCUCCUCCUCCUCCUCUACCAGAUAUUGCUGACCCUACUCCUCUUCCUCUUCCUCCACCAUACAUUGCUGGCCUUCCUCCUCCUCUUCAUCUUCAUCCUCCUCGUUCUCUACCAGACAUUGCUGGCCCUCUUCCUCCUCCUCCUUCUCCUCUACCAUAUAUUGCUGGCCCUCCUCCUCCUUCUCAUCUACCAUACAUUGCUGUCCCUCCUCUUCCUCUACCAGACAUCUCUGGCCCUCCUUCUCCUCCUGCUCCUCAUGCUCCUCCUCCACCAGACAUCAAUAGCGCUCCUCCUCCUCUUCUAGCAAACAUCGCUGACCCUCUUCCUCCUCCUCCCCCUACUCCUCCAGACAUUGCUGGCCCUCUUCCUCCUUCUUCUACUCCUCUAACAGACAACACUGCCUCUCCUCUUCCUCCUUCUCCUUCUCCCCCUCCUCCUCCUUGUCUACCAGACAUCACUGGCCCUCCUCCUCUUCUUUCUUCUCCUUCUCUACCAGACCUUGAGGGUCCACAUAGUCCUCCUCCUCUACCAGACAUUGCUGGCUUUCCUCCUCCUCCUUCUCUAUGACACAUUGCUGGCCUUCCUCUUCCUCCUCUUCUACCAGACAUCACUGGCCUUCCUACCCCUCCUCCUCCUCUUCC